UCCAGAAGGUCUCCCCACUAUGAUGAAAGGUUUGGACCACGUCUCAGAAAAGAUAUGUGACUGGACUGAGUGGUGGAAAGGGGGCCAAAGAAACUUUUUCCCAUAGACGAGUGUGUAACCAGUUGGUGGGCAGCAGUUUUUAGGAAGCUGAAUCUCAAAGGUCCGUAGCAGGCCAGAUCUCGCAUGACCACCCCUGUGUUCUUCUCCCGUAACUGUACAUUCAGCUUCCCCUGCACUUUCCCAAGAGCAACAGAAAAAAAGCAAAUGCCAGGUGAGUUGUUUAUUCAUUUCUCAUGUUUCCAUUGCAUAAAAUGAUAAAAGAUUAACAUGAUAAAAAUUAUCAAGGAAUUUAUAGUUAACAGAUCUAAAAUAGGGAAAAGUCAACAUAUUAAUUAUAAAGAUAUCAAGA
rnacentral:lncRNA from 1 species